CCUUACCUGGCCUUGACAUACUAAGAACUUUCCAGAGAUGGAUUGGUGCCUUCGGGAACUUAGAUACAGGUGCUGCAUGGCUGUCGUCAGCUCGUGUCGUGAGAUGUUGGGUUAAGUCCCGCAACGAGCGCAACCCUUUUCCUUAUUUGCCAGCGGGUUAAGCCGGGAACUUUUAAGGAUACUGCCAGUGACAAACUGGAGGAAGGCGGGGACGACGUCAAGUCAUCAUGGCCCUUACGGCCAGGGCUACACACGUGCUACAAUGGUCGGUACAAAGGGUUGCUACCUCGCGAGAGGAUGCUAAUCUCAAAAAGCCGAUCGUAGUCCGGAUCGCAGUCUGCAACUCGACUGCGUGAAGUCGGAAUCGCUAGUAAUCGCGAAUCAGAAUGCCGCGGUGAAUACGUUCCCGGGCCUUGUACACACCGCCCGUCACACCAUGGGAGUUUGUUGCACCAGAAGUAGGUAGUCUAACCGCAAGGAGGACGCUUACCACGGUGUGGCCGAUGACUGGGGUGAAGUCGUAACAAGGUAGGCGUAGAUGA
rnacentral:rRNA from 1 species